rnacentral:rRNA from 1 species
UCCUACGGGGGGCAGCAGUGGGGAAUAUUGCACAAUGGGGGAAACCCUGAUGCAGCAACGCCGCGUGAAGGAAGACGGUUUUCGGAUUGUAAACUUCUGUUCUUAGUGAAGAAGAAUGACGGUAGCUAAGGAGCAAGCCCCGGCUAACUACGUGCCAGCAGCCGCGGUAAUACGUAGGGAGCGAGCGUUGUCCGGAUUUACUGGGUGUAAAGGGUGCGUAGGCGGCUUGGCAAGUCAGUAGUGAAAUCCAUGGGCUUAACCCAUGAACUGCUAUUGAAACUGU